GACGAACGCUGGCGGCGUGCUUAACACAUGCAAGUCGAACGGAAAGGCCCUGCUUUUGUGGGGUGCUCGAGUGGCGAAAGGGUUAGUAACCAGGGAGUAACCUGCCCUUGACUUUGGGAUAACUUCAGGAAACUGGGGCUAAUUCCGGAUAGGAGUUCUUGCCGCAAGGUGGGGGUUGGAAAGUUUCGGCGGUUGGGGAUGGACUUGCGGGUUAUCAGCUUGUUGGUGGGGUAGUGGCUUACCAAGGCUUUGACGGGUAGCCGGCCUGAGAGGGUGACCGGCCACAUUGGUACUGAGGUACGGACCAGACUCCUACGGGAGGCAGCAGUGGGAAGUAUUGCACAAUGGGCGGACGCCUGAUACGGCAACGCCGCGUGCGGAAUGCCGGCCUUCUAGUUGUAAACCGCUUUCGCCUGUGACGAAGCGUGAGUGACGGUAAUGGGUAAAGAAGCACCGGCUAACUACGUG
rnacentral:rRNA from 1 species